CCAGCUUUCCCCAGUCAGAUGUGAGGGGGAGAGCUGGAGACAAAGGAGCUACAGAUCCGAGAAAUCCAGUGAGUUUGGAGCCUUGGAGCUGCCAUACUCUCAUCUAUUAUUGGAAUUGGCCAGGUGAUCCCUUUUUAGGGAAAAAGAUGGCGAGCUUCUGAAAACUGGCUGGAGCCAGGAGAGCCUUAAGAAUCACUCCACACUGGACUGGUCUGUAUCAUCCCCCCCCCUCCGUCUCACCACUCAGGCAUACACUCCAUUAUUCACCUCUUCAUCCGAAACAACUUGCGCUGGGACAUUUUUCAACUUAAAUAUCUGGAUAAUCCAACCAUGGAUUUCUGAAUGUGUGUCGGGUCAGACUCUGGACUGAUCAGUGGGGAAUUUAAGACCAGUUGUGCACAAACAAAAGGAUUGCCACAGUACUGUGUAUAUAUUUUGUAUUUAUUUUGGGUUCUAUGUAUGUUGUCUUGUAUUGUUUACUUUAAAUUUGUCUAUUACAUGGUAUUGAAAGCAGUUAUUUUGUGUCGUU